GUGUACCAAACGAAUUUGAUCGUCUUUGGCGAGUUGCAGAGUCGACUGGAGUGCCAUCGUGUUCCAAGCUGCGCCGUGGGCUUCUCCGAUUUUGAUCCAAUCGGCCGAUCCCACCUUCAUCUGCAGCUGAACUUUGACAAUUUGCCAUCAUUUCCUGUGGGAUUGAGCAGCCAUGAGUUUCGGAACAAGGCCAUCGUUCACCGCCAGACACCAAGGCUCUCGAUUGGAAUCCGAUCAGCUGAUGAAGUUCAUUCAAAGGUUAGUAGGAUCUUUAUUUUCCGCAUCAGUUCUUGCCGUUUCUUCUCCUAGUGAAUGGCAAUAGUUCGUUAUCUGGUUGUGACGAUCUGGAAUUAUGUGACGGACAAGAUUUGUUGGGAAAUAUUAAAUGGAGAAAAACGGUUGACAAAU